GCUUGGGUAGCUCAGUUGGUAGAGCACUUGCCCGCAAAAGGCAAAGGUCCCGAGUUCGAGUCUCGGUCCGACACA
rnacentral:tRNA from 1 species